UCCUCUUCCUCUACGUCACUGUUUUAACAGUCAUCGGUUACAAAAGCCAGACCGAUCCUGCUUUGGACCUCGAUCAGUGCGGCGGCGUCGGAAUUCUCGGCAUCGCCUGGGCCUUCGGCGGCAUGAUCUUCAUCCUCGUCUACUGCACCGCCGGUAUCUCCGGUAAGUAUAUAUAAUCUCAACUCUCAAAUUCUCAAUCAUCAAUUCGUCUUCACUUUAGCAAAAUCACUUCGAACUACUGUUUGAUUUUUGUAAAGAGAGAUGAAGCUAACUAACUUCUGCUUGCUAAAAUACGCCAGGAGGACACAUUAACCCUGCUGUGACAUUCGGUUUGUUUUUGGCGAGAAAGGUGUCGUUGAUUAGGGCUGUAGGUUACAUGAUUGCACAGUGUUUGGGAGCAAUUUGUGGUGUAGGGUUAGUGAAAGCUUUCCAGAGCUCAUACUACGACCGGUACGGCGGCGGAGCCAACGAAUUGGCCGACGGUUACAAUAAGGGCACCGGACUCGGUGCUGAGAUCAUCGGCACCUUCGUCCUUGUUUACACUGUCUUCUCUGCCACCGAUCCCAAGAGGAGUGCACGAGACUCCCAUGUUCCUGUAAGCACCUUAUCAUCUCUCUCUGUUCUUCGACGAUAGUUUAAAAAACUAGAAAUUCACCAAUGAUGGAUACUAACUAUAUUCUACUUUAAAAAAUGGAAAUAUGAAGGUAUUGGCACCACUUCCCAUCGGUUUCGCUGUUUUCAUGGUGCACUUGGCCACCAUUCCGAUCACCGGCACCGGCAUCAACCCGGCGAGAAGUUUUGGCGCCGCCGUGAUUUACAACAAGGCGAAGGCAUGGGAUGAUCAAGUAUGUAUUUUUUGCUUUUUCUUUUCUUAAUUUCUUUAAAUUUACUUUUUAUUUAAUUAUAUGAAUUAAUAUAAUUAUUAAUUCCAAAUUUAGUGGAUCUUCUGGGUGGGACCAUUCAUCGGAGCAUUGGCCGCCGCCGUCUACCACCAGUUUGUACUGAGAGCCGCCGCAAUCAAGGCACUUGGCUCUUUCAGAAGCAAUGCUUGAGCUUGAAAGAUGUUCAUCCAUGGCUGUUCAUGCCUUGUAGAUAUCUUUGCAAAUUCCCCUUAAAAGAAUUGGGUUUCAUGUAAUUGUUAUUUAUUUUCUUCGUGUCUUAUUUAUGUGAAUUGUAAGCGUUCGUUUUUUUUUUUUUUU
rnacentral:lncRNA from 1 species